GUAGGUGGCAAGCGUUGUCCGGAAUUAUUGGGCGUAAAGCGCGCGCAGGCGGUUCUUUAAGUCUGAUGUGAAAGCCCACGGGCUCAACCGUGGAGGGUCAUUGGAAACUGGAGAACUUGAGUACAGAAGAGGAAAGCGGAAUUCCACGUGUAGCGGUGAAAUGCGUAGAGAUGUGGAGGAACACCAGUGGCGAAGGCGGCUUUCUGGUCUGUAACUGACGCUGAGGCGCGAAAGCGUGGGGAGCAAACAGGAUUAGAUACCCUGGUAGUCCACGCCGUAAACGAUGAGUGCUAAGUGUUACGGGGGUUUCCGCCCCUUAGUGCUGCAGCUAACGCAUUAAGCACUCCGCCUGGGGAGUACGACCGCAAGGUUG
rnacentral:rRNA from 1 species